rnacentral:lncRNA from 1 species
CAAACUAGAAAAUCCAAUUAUUAUUAUUAUUAUUAUUAUUAUUAAAAGACAAGUAAAUAAGAAAAGACCGACAAAACAUUGAAAUUACAGGAAGACACACUAAUGCAGCAAUUGUAAUUUGUUGGUGUCACUAGACACUAAAAAUUCCAUGCACACACCAAUUCAUCCUGAUACAAGGGUGUGUGCGCACAAGUACAACAAACCCAACAAUCACUGCAAUCACUGUCGGAAGCACAGGAUCUAAGACAAGUAUUAAGCUGUGGGAGCACUCUCCUAUUGAGUCCUGAGAGCAUAUGAUCAGCAUCUGAUGUAGCUAUAACUUGCUUCUUCGAGAACCAAGACGCAUUAACUGAAAUAUUACACAAUCGUAAAUAAUCAACUAAUUAUCGACAUAAUAAUAAAAAUUCACAUUUGAACCUCGAAUAAUAAAACACACAUGCAUAUACAUUAUUCAAUUUGUAUGAAAUGUAACACAAUAUUGUAAGAGAAUAAUGUAGAGAUACGUAGAGAUGAAUACUAACUAGUGGCUGCCAUGAUAAGAAUAGUGAAUAUGAAACUAAGUUUAAUCAUCGUCAUGCUAGGAAUAACACUUCAAGCUAUAAGAAUUUUUUGUGUGUAAGUAUCUCAUUACUAG